AUAGAACGCUGGCGGCAUGCUUUACACAUGCAAGUCGAACGGUAACAGGUUAAGCUGACGAGUGGCGAACGGGUGAGUAGUGCAUCGGAACGUGCCCGGUCGUGGGGGAUAACGCAGCGAAAGUUGCGCUAAUACCGCAUACGAUCUGAGGAUGAAAGCGGGGGACCGUAAGGCCUCGCGCGAUCGGAGCGGCCGAUGUCAGAUUAGGUAGUUGGUGGGGUAAAGGCUCAACAAGCCAACGAUCUGUAGCUGGUCUGAGAGGACGACCAGCCACACUGGGACUGAGACACGGCCCAGACUCCUACGGGAGGCAGCAGUGGGGAAUUUUGGACAAUGGGCGAAAGCCUGAUCCAGCAAUGCCGCGUGCAGGAAGAAGGCCUUCGGGUUGUAAACUGCUUUUGUACGGAGCGAAAAGGUCUCCUCUAAUACAGGGGGCUCAUGACGGUACCGUAAGAAUAAGCACCGGCUAACUACGUGCCAGCCGCCGCCGUAA
rnacentral:rRNA from 1 species